UACAGAGGGUGCGAGCGUUGUCCGGAAUCACUGGGCGUAAAGGGCGCGUAGGCGGCUUCUCAAGCGUGUGGUGAAAGUCCGGGGCUCAACCCCGGAUCGGCCGUGCGGACUGGGGAGCUCGAGUUCUGUAGAGGCGGGUGGAAUUCCGGGUGUAGCGGUGGAAUGCGUAGAGAUCCGGAAGAACACCGGUGGCGAAGGCGGCCCGCUGGGCAGAGACUGACGCUGAGGCGCGACAGCGUGGGGAGCAAACAGG
rnacentral:rRNA from 1 species